AUGGCGCCCGCCGGCCCAAAUGUAUUUAAAGAUGCGUUCCGUUACGCAACAAACAUUUGCGCGCGUUAUUUUCUCCCGUUUUGAACCACUCUGCUCAAUUCGUGCGACGCCGCAAACCUGGAUCGUCUGUCGGAUGUGAGCGCCAAAUAAGGCCGCCUAGCCAGCAUCCUUGGACGCAAAGCAAGCGGGAGGCUCUUGAGCCAUCUCAGUGAUGUUGAGGACACUGAGGAAGACUAGUCCUAAAUCAGGCUGGACGCUAAAGGGGUGCGCAUGGCCCGGCCCAACCCGACCCGGCGACAAUCACAAAGAGUAGCUAGCCGCUGUGGUCAAAUGGCGACCGGGACACGACACGAUCAGAGGUGGACCACUUCCCCAGCCUGGUGGCAACACGCCGAAGUAUCCUGCCUUGACCGAACACUGGGUUCUGAGGGAGACCCGCUUCCCUGGAGGCGUCGACCUGCGCAGCUUCAACGUGUAACAUUGAGUUUUUUUUUAAAUUAUUUUUAAAUUCACACCAGCGGUGUCCAAAUGUCUGUUUGAGGGCUGCAUACUGAAACAAAUUCAGAAUUCUUUGACACAAAUUAAAUAACGAACUUGUGCUAUUUUUUGCUACUGCUACAAAGCGGUGUUGUGUUCAUUCAUGUGGUGUGUUGAUAAAGUUGCCCCGAGGCUGCCAUUUGGACACCAAUGGUGACAUGUGUAGGGCUGCACGGGUAUUGGAAACCUGCCAUAUGGUGGUAUAGGUUAUUGACAUGCACUUUAAGAAAGGAAAGUUUUUUUUGUUUAAUGUGGCAAAUGACUCGUGCUCCAUGUUUUCUGGCCUCCUAUUUGUAAUGAGUUUAGAAGAUGAAGAGUCCUUGAUGCAAGUUAAAUUUAACUGAUCUAACUGAUGUCAUUGUGAUCAAAUAGUUCAUUUCCAUCCCAA